GCUGGGCGCGGUGGCUGGUGUCUGUAGUUCCAGCUACUCGGGAGGCCGAGGCAGGAGGAUUGCUUGAGCCUGGGAGCUCUGGGCUGCAGUGUGCUCUGCUGAUUGGGUGUCUCCACUAAGUUUGACAUCAAUAUGGUGACCUCCUGGGUGCAGGGGACCAUCAGGUUGCCUAAGGAGGGGUGAACCAGCCCAGGUUGUAAACGGAGCAAGUCAAAACUCCUGUGCUGAUCAUAGUGGGAUUGUGCCUGUGAAUAGCCACUGCACUCCAGCCUGGGCAACAUAGUAACACUCCAUCCCUA
rfam:Nomascus leucogenys chromosome 17, whole genome shotgun sequence.